UCAGCACAGAGCCUGACGCAGGGCUGGAAUUUACGAACCGCGAGAUCAUGACCUGAGCCAAGUCUGAUGCUUAACCGACCUAGCCGCCCAGGUGCCCCCAUUUUUUUAAAGGAGGAAACCUACCUGGCCCAUGCUCCCAUCCUACAAGGGUGGCAGGUGGGCAUGGAAACCAGGACUGUCCAAUCUUGACGCCCGUGUUUCCAAUAUAUCAUCUUCCUUCAAAAGAAGAAACAUGAAUAAGGAGUGAUUCUGGCCUCUAUUGAUGGAAAGGUGCUUAAUCCAGUCCCUGGGCAGAUGAAUCACAUGCUCCAGCAUGCCUUUUGGUUGCAGUGUGGAACACAAGCUCUACUAUUUGCAGUGUGGCAGGUGUUAAAGGAAGUUCCCUUUCCCUGUCUCCCUCCCUCCCAGUUAAUUCUUCUCACUGCAGUUGGUUAUCCUGUUCAAGCAAAAUGCAGCUUUAUUACUGCUCUGCUGAGAGCCAUCUGGGGGCUUCCUAUGGGAGUAGAAGCUAAACUUGUAGGGGAUGUACUUGUCUACCUUCUCUGUCCCUGCCUCCCUCCCCUCCAUUCCCUGACACUGUCACCUUUUACUCUUCUCUUUCUCCACUCUGCUCCUCGUUCCCUCCCGCUUACUGUUCCUCGAACCCAUCAGUGCUUCCUUUCCAUUUUCAGGACUUCGCCUUUGAGGUAUGUCCAUCCCAGACUGCUCCCCCAGCAGAACCAGCCUGGUGCGUUCCCUGUUCACUUACGGGCUUGGUGUUUGUCUCCAUCUACUAGAAGCUCCGUGAGAGGUUUUAUCUGGUUUUGUGUAUUGUAGACCCCAUGUGCCGGAAUGGGACCCAACACGAUGGCUUAGUAAAUACUGUUGGCCAGAUGAUUGAGUGAGUGAUUCGUCCACAGACCACGGCCCUGGCUGUGGACCCCGAGGGAGUUUGACAGGAACACAGCAUUGCUUACUUGGCAGACCUCCUAAAUUUAGAUGCCUCUGUCAGCAGCAUGAUGGCCGACCAAGAAGAGAAAACUAAGUCAGACUAACCAGCCACAAAGAACACGGGUAGAACAGAAUCUUAUAUGUUCCAAGGACUUGGCUAACGAUUUCAUCAGUAAGGCUCUUCAUAACAGUUAUGCAGGUAAUUGACCUGAGGUUCGACAACUUCCUGGCGGUGCCCUGCUUAGAUACCUGACCACUUGUUGUUUUUCUAUUUGCAUUAAGGCAGUGACCAAGAUGAUUUUUGAGGGGAGGGAGAUAUUCCUUGGAGGACAGGAUAAAAGGUUAGUCUUUACUAUUUUUGGUAUCCCCCCCCACUGCUGAGCACAGUGACCCAUGUGUUGCGGAUCCCAGUCAAGCCUGCUGUCGCCGACAUUAAGUUCAGACUGUGACUUCCCAGGGAAGAAUCUCCCUGACUAAGAGAGUGGGUCAGGGUGAAAGGUCCCUUGAGUCACCAAACUCUUCUGUUGAUGAUAGCAAAGCCAAGACCAGACGUGCCAGUGAUGCUGAUUUUACGUGCAUCGGUCACUAACACAUUUGCUGGGUUUCCAUAAAAUGCGAGAAAGUGAUCACAGACCGACUGCUCAUAAAUCCGCCAAACCCCCUACAGGCAGAGGGCCUUGAGAGAAAGAAGCUAAGGGCACAGCUGCCAACUGAGGAGUGAGGCAAAUAGCUCUUUGAAGAGGCCCAAGGCCACACCAUUCUCCCAGGGUCUCCUGGAGAAGUGAGGGGUGAGGCUGGCUGGCUGUGUGAGGAGACGUCUCCCAGCAGGCUGAGAACGGAAGGGUUGUGGACAUGCCCGAGGCUACCCACAGAGGAAUUUGGAAGGGAAUAAAUAGUCACACCUGCACAUUCCCUUAGAAGAUUUUUCACAGCUUGAACCGGCUACUAAAAGGUAGGCACCCCCCUUUUAAAGAACGUUUAAAAAAAACAAGGAUGCAGUUGCUUUCGGUGAGAGUGUGCUUGCUGUUGAUGUUCAGCUCUCUAUAAAUGUAUAUUAAGUAAAUGUUACUACCAUAUGUGAGUAUGGUAGUGAGUAUGUGAGUAUUCUAUUAGCUGUUAAGUUAAAUUAGCUGUUAAGUUAAAACCAAAAUGCCUGUCCCUAUGUAGAAGGUGUGGAAAGAAACACAGUUUCUUUGGUAUUUGGUCCUUCAGUAUGGCAGAGUGCAGAGUUGAAGUAUUUGAAGAGUUCAGGCAUUGAUAUAUUAUGCAGGUACCAGUUGGAGACCCACAUACGUCUUUUCUUUAUGACGCUUCUCCAAAAAACGUUUCUCUUGUUAACGCUUAGAUUUGGUUUUGGGUUUUGGUGUUUUAGACCAAACACUGGAUUUAGGUAAAGGAUUCAUUAAUGAGAAUGCAUUUUUCACUACUGCCCAAUGAAUAUUUGAUGGCAUUUUUGUUGCCUUGAAAUGGUAAGAUGCUGUAAAUACCUCUGAACAAGCUUUUCAAGAAGUUCAUAUUCUCAGAAAAGCUGAUGUUCGCCUAACCAUGAUAAGGCAGGGCUGUAGUCUCCCUCCUCCUCUUGGGUAUAUCGGUCUCUUAUAUUCAGCCAACUCCAUGAAAAGGUGUAGAAUUUCCCAUGAGGUUUCAGGAGCCCAUAAUGUUAUUACCAUAAUUGAUCGGUCUUUAACCUACCCACUUCUUAAAUAAGAAGAUUCACUUUUUAUUUUUUCUUUUUGCCAACACCUGCAGUCAGAUGGUUCCCUGUUUUGUUUUGUUUUGUUUUUUUUUAAUAGUGUGUGUCAGAAGUGGCUCCUUAUAAAGACUAGGAUCAUUUCCUUUUCAUAAAGCUUUCUGAGAAUAGUGAUACUGCUUUGCUAAAAAUGUCUCUUCUGCAGAAGAAACUUUCCCUAAGCACGCAAACACGAUGAGUGUGUGUGAAAUGUGGCCAGUAACGGUAGCCAUACUUGGCAAAGGCGAGUGACAGGAGUGAACAGCAGGUUUGUGCGUUGUCGGCCUGGGAGGGUUUAGAUGUGGCCCAGCCUCCAGGUGGGAACCUGAACCGCAUCCCAAGAGACGUGCCUACCUCAGGAGGCUAAACACAGAAACACUCUCCUCAAACCUAGCGAGUCAGUUAAUUAACUGGAUUUAUAAUUCCAUAAUUGAGACUCACUCUUAUGGAUGGUUAGGCAGUUAACUAGCCGUAUGGAAGUGAUGUGGAAUUCUAAUCAAGGUGGAAUUGAAUAGCAGGGUAGAAACUCGGCAGGUCCGUGGCUUCUGUGCUGUGGGAAAAAGGGAUCUGGACCAAGGAUGAAUACCUGGUUAAUAAGGUCUUGAGAAGUGCCUGAUAGCUUUUUCUUUAAGACUAGGGAUGCAAGAUAGAACUAUGAAAUACGAGAAAAAUGAGAUUUAAAUUGAGAUUGGCAAAAGGGGUGAGUAGCUUAUUUUUAUUUAAAAAAAUGUUUAUUUCUUUAUUUUGAGAGAGAUGGAGAGAGUGCAAGUGGGAGAGGAGCAGACAGAGAGGGAGAGAGAGAAUCCCAAGCAGCCUCCAUGCUCAGCAUGGAGCCCGAUGUGGGGCUUGAUCCCAUGACCCUGAGAUCAUGACCUGAGCUGAAAUCAAGAGUCAGAUACUUACCCGGGUGAGCCACCCAGGCACCCGGGGAUAACACCACAUCAGCCCACUGGACUUUUACUUGGUCUCUAAAACAGAACAUAUAAGCUGGGAGUGCAUGACCAGCUAUGAACUGACUUGGGUCACGGUAAAUGUGAUUUUUGUCCCUCUACAUUUACACCUGCCUCAGUCUGCUUUGGGGUCCUGUAGCUGUCUCUGCCCCCUGCCAUCAAGGCUCCCUGGCUGUGCUGUUUGGCAGGAUUGGAUUUUGUCAGUUGCCUCCCACAAAGGAAAUGCUCAGGAGGCAUAUGUUGCAGUGCCUUUCCGAAAUAGUUGAAGAUGUCACCUUCAUAAACAAAAGGACUGGAUUUAUUUUCUUUCUCCCUUCCCUUCUUUUGAUGAUCAAAAGACAGAACAUUUUAAGUACUCCCCAGUUCCCCCCCCACCCCCAUCUUGACUGAUUGGAAGAAAUACUGUUACAUGGCAGAAUAUUGGCAGUGAGUAGAAAUACAAAGCAGGUUUAACAUUAACCUUAUGGAGGAACAGUGCAAGACCAGUGGAAUGAUGAAAGAAAAGGCUUACUAAUAAUAUUACAUACUAGUAUAAUUAAAUAAAUAUGGAAAAUUUCGUGCAUUUAGAUGGUGGUCUAGAUCCUAACACUUAACCACUCACUUUCAAACAGAAGCUAUUUUUGUAAGCACGUAGGAGUCUAGUAAUAUUUUUUGGCUAGAAAUCAUUUAAAGUUUACAUCACUGUAUAGCAUGGAUUAAGCAGGUGCAAGGAAAUUGAAGAAGAGAAUGUUUAGAUUUCAGAAAGUGAAUUCCAUGUAACUGUGAGAGGUGGAGCUUGGAUUAGUGCCACAGUUUUGUGGAAGACGCUUUAGUGACACUGUGUUUCUGUGCCUGAUUCUUAUACACACACACACACACAGGUACAACAUGUGGGAGUAUUCAUUGUCCAGAAUUCUAGAAUUCAUAAUUUUGCAACCAGAUAUGAAUUCUAGAAUUCAUAAUUUUGCAACAGUGAUUCAUGCAAAAUCUUUUUCUUUUUUUAAACCAUAUAUUUGAAUAAAUUGUGAAUUAUGGAUUUUUUUUCUUUUU